rnacentral:rRNA from 1 species
AUGCCCAAACGUGGCGUCGAGGCCUUCCACAUCCGCACCCAAGCCGCGUCACUACCAAGCUGCUACAAGCAUACAGGGCCUUCCGUGUUCAAGCUGAAAAGGCAAGAAGAUCUCAUUAUUAACAUGGAUAAAAAAGGUGGAACGUCUUCUUCAGUAGAAUUACACAAUGGUUGGCUGAAGCUUUGGAUUGCUAAAGUACCAAGAAAGGUAAAAAUCCAUCUUUGGUGUAUUUAUUUUCAGAGAAUUUAUGUUGGAGAUGAGCUUAAGAGAAGAAAGUAUAUAGAUAUGGUAAUGAACUACAGAAAGCGGAUUGUUGAGUUUACCAAGCAUAAUGGCACACCUAAUUUUGGCAAAUCACCUGAAGAGUAUUUCAAGCAAAGAUGCGUUGAGAUUUUCACAUGA